AUGUUUUGAUCAUUAUUUCGGCUUUGAAUGAACACGACUCUUGGUAUUAUUGCGGGAGAGGCUUACGUGAGACGAGACUGUUUAGACGAACGACAACUCUGUAUACAAGGCCGAUCGCUCUGGGCAAGACACUCGUAGAGUUUUGAGUCAUCGCCGGCCAUGUUUGUCAAGCCAUCAGCUGCAAUGUCCAGCAGGAUGUGCUUAUUCAUCGCUGUGACUUUGGCAACGUGCGAGGGAGACGUGAGGUGGACACGUGACCGAAAGUUUGAUGGACUCGUUAGGGUCAACGGUUGCCCUCACUCAGAGCUCGGGGGCGAGGGCAUGAACGUGCGUUACUGCGCCUCCACCUGCACCUCCAGCUCCAGGUGUGCUUCUUUCUUCUACCUGACUGCAAACAGAACGUGCAUCAUGAACGACCUGACCUUUCCAUCCACAAGUGGAGGCACUGUCUUACCUGGUGCGAGAUACUUCCAAGCCGUUACAGCGAGCUGUCCAGACAGUGCCGGGUAUGUGUGGAUCCAAAGACAACGACUGUGUUUCAAAGUGUUACUCGACUCCAACGAACUUUAGCAGCGCGUAUCGAAGCUGCACGAGUGCCGGGGAUCGGCCUGUUGUGGUGGACACUGGGGACAAGUUCUACACCAUCAAGACUAACAUAGCUUAUCGUUAUGGCACCAUGUCCUUCUACGUGGGGGCUGUCCGGGAAGGAGUGAUCGAUGGAAGCAGAACGAGCUGGAGCAACAACCUCCACCCUUUGCGCUGGCUCAACGGGCAACUGGUGGCGCUGACCGGACCUGACAGCGGCUGGGAUACCGGGUACCCGUCCAACAGUGGGGAACAGAAGGGUGCAUGGAACUGUCCAAUGGAAAAUGGAACGACUUACCUUGCGGCUCGACCAGGGCUUUCGUCUGCGAAAGAAUUAUUUCGUGAAACUCAAGAACCCAUGAAAAGAAAUUUCCUGCCUCUGACGGAAAAAUAACAAGUCUCAGUCAUAUGGAUGCUGUGUCAUGUCUAAACAAACCGGUCUCGAUCCAACUACUUGAUCGGUUACUUACCUUUAUAGUACUGUAGAGUCAUUAAAAUCACAUUUUUAAAAAAUAUCUUCUUAUAUAUUUCUUGUUUCCUUGUAAUCUGUCUGCAGUGACAGCUAUUUACUCCCAUGUUCUUGUACUGUGGUUUUGGUGAUGGUGAUUUGACGGGAAAAAGAUCUAAAAAAUAUUUAUGUAUUAAUUUAAAUAUGUCCCUAUUACUGGUUUCUUUUGUUUAAAAUA